GAUCUAGACUGACAGAGCAAUGCUGAGCUUUAUCCAGAUAAACAGAGACUGGCAGGUUUAAAGCUGAUAGAAACUGAUGUUACUACAACAGUGGUUGGGAAGAUAUGCUCAAGUAGGUGUUUGAAUUUCCAGCUGGGCCCAAAAUCAAGAUCAAAACCAAAUACACUGUGGAUGCUGAAGAGGUAAACAUAAUGAAGCUGAUAUCUCCACCCUGAAUCUUGAGACAGGCUGAUGUGAUCAUUU
rnacentral:lncRNA from 1 species